rnacentral:rRNA from 1 species
UCGAGGAUCUUCGGCAAUGGGCGCAAGCCUGACCGAGCGACGCCGCGUGCGGGAUGAAGGCCUUCGGGUUGUAAACCGCUGUCAGUGGGGAGGAAAUGUACGUGGGUACUCCCACGUAUUUGACCUAUCCGCAGAGGAAGUGUGGGCUAAGUUCGUGCCAGCAGCCGCGGUAAGACGAACCACACAAACGUUAUUCGGAAUCACUGGGCUUAAAGGGUGCGUAGGCUGCGCAGCAAGUUGGGUGUGAAAUCCCUCGGCUCAACCGAGGAACUGCGCCCAAAACUGCUGUGCUCGAGGGAGAUAGAGGUGAGCGGAACUUAGGGUGGAGCGGUGAAAUGCGUUGAUAUCCUAAGGAACACCCGUGGCGAAAGCGGCUCACUGGAUCUCUUCUGACGCUGAGGCACGAAAGCUAGGGUAGCGAACGGGAUUAGAUACCCCCGUAGUCC